CUCUUCAACGACCGACCGACGGCUCUUCGCGUCCUUCUCCCCCGGACGGCAACCUCUGCGGCUCCGGUCACCGACUCACAGUCACCGGUUUUGAGAGUUAGAAGAUGCAAGGAUGUUCUUAUACAGUUUUCUAUUAUGGAAGUGGCUUCAAGAAUUAUGAUUACAUUUACUUUUGAAUGCACAAAGAUGCAUGUUUGUUAUAAUGUUAAUGGGACAAUGUAAUUUGUAUUUUGUCUAAAUAUGUAAUUGUCUAAGUUUGUAGUUUUUA